rnacentral:tRNA from 1 species
GGCUUGAUAGCUCAACUGGUAGAGUUUUGCACCGGUAUUGCAGAGGUCAUGGAUUAAAUUCCCAUUCAAGCAU